rnacentral:rRNA from 1 species
UACGUAGGGUGCGAGCGUUUGUCCGGAAUUAUUGGGCGUAAAGAGCUCGUAGGCGGCUUGUCGCGUCGGAUGUGAAAGCCCGGGGCUUAACUCCGGGUCUGCAUUCGAUACGGGCAGGCUAGAGUUCGGUAGGGGAGAUCGGAAUUCCUGGUGUAGCGGUGAAAUGCGCAGAUAUCAGGAGGAACACCGGUGGCGAAGGCGGCUCUCUGGGCCUGUCCUGACGCUCAGGCGCGAAAGCUAGGGGAGCGAACAGG